rnacentral:rRNA from 1 species
GUGACCCGCGGCUCGGGCGCGGCGGUAAGUGGGAGGGGGGGGGGGUGGUGCGGAAGCGCGGGGGGUAAAGGGCGCGUAGGCGGCCCUGUUUGUCGCGUGUGAAAGCCCCUGGCUCAACCUGGGAAGGGCGCGCGGGACGGCGGGGCUGGAGUGCGGGAGAGGAGCGUGGAAUUCCCAGUGUAGAGGUGAAAUUCGUAGAUAUUGGGAAGAACACCGGUGGCGAAGGCGGCGCUCUGGACCGAGACUGACGCUGAGGCGCGAAAGCGUGGGGAGCAAACAGGAUUAGAUACCCUAGUAGUC